rnacentral:rRNA from 1 species
UACGGGGGGAGCAAGCGUUGUUCGGAUUUACUGGGCGUAAAGGGCGCGUAGGCGGUCAGCACAAGUCAGUUGUGAAAUCUCCGGGCUUAACUCGGAAAGGUCAACUGAUACUGUGCGACUAGAGUGCAGAAGGGGCAACUGGAAUUCUCGGUGUAGCGGUGAAAUGCGUAGAUAUCAAGAGGAACACCUGCGGCGAAGGCGGGUUGCUGGGCUGACACUGACGCUGAGGCGCGAAAGCUAGGGGAGCGAACAGG